AGUGAACGCUGGCGGCGUGCCUAAUACAUGCAAGUCGAACGGAGAUUAAGUAGCUUGCUAUUUAAUCUUAGUGGCGCACGGGUGAGUAAUAUAUAGCUAACUUGCCCAUUACUAAGGGACAACAGUUGGAAACGACUGCUAAUACCUUAUACUCCGUAUCUAUAUAAGUAGAUACGGGAAAGUUUUUCGGUAAUGGAUAGGGCUAUAUCGUAUCAGCUAGUUGGUAAGGUAAUGGCUUACCAAGGCUAUGGCGCGUAACUGGUCUGAGAGGAUGAUCAGUCACACUGGAACUGAGACACGGUCCAGACUCCUACGGGAGGCAGCAGGAGGGAAUAUUGCUCAAUGGGGGAAACCCUGAAGCAGCAACGCCGCGUGGAGGAUGACACUUUUCGGAGCGUAAACUCCUUUUCUUGGGAAAGAAUUAUGACGGUACCCAAGGAAUAAGCACCGGCUAACUCCGUG
rnacentral:rRNA from 1 species